rnacentral:rRNA from 1 species
GCCUAUGGUCUUUAGGCGCAAACCGUGCACCUAUCUUGCACCGACACUAACACUGUCUCCAAGCAGAUGGAAAUGAGAUUCCACAUGACCUAUGUCACCUAGGAGUUCCAUUGGGUGUGUCCAAAACGACAUCUGAGCCUAUGGCACGAUCAGCGCAAAUCGUGCACCUAUCUUGUGCCUGGAUUAGCACUAUCUCCAAACAGACCAAAACUGGCAUCCACUUGAGCCUCAUCACCUAGGAGUACUAACGGGUGCGUCCAAAAUGAUUUCUGAGCCUACGGUACAUUUGGCACAAACCGCGCACCUAUCUUGGACCGACUGAUCAGAUCCCGUAGGGUUCGCUGGCCGAUCUUUCGAUGAGAGAUGGUGGAUAACUCGAUUUGUGGAUGGAGACGACGUUCACGGCCUGACUACAACCAUCCAAGGACGCUGCGCCUUAGCAGCCGAUACACCUCCUCCGAUGGCUGCCGUGAUCUUGCCGCGCGACAACCAGCCACUAGGGCACCAGUCCUGCAGGCAAUCGAAGAACCAGCAAGAACAAGAAGAACAAGCACUUAAUUGCCUAAUAAAUAUGAAGGUUUCAAUCUAAAAACACAAGAUGGUGAGGUUUUGAAAACAAUCAGUCAGGCGGUUGAUCCAACACGCGCGCUGAAAGGCGGUAGCAAUAGCUAACUCGACGAAACAAAACCUAAUCUGUUUGUAGCGGCCCUAGAGGCAUAUAAGUAGAUGGGAGGACGACCAAAAUGGUGUUUGAGUCAUUCUCCAACCCUAGGACGCGUCCCUAAUGGACCCAACUUGAUACAUGGGCCAUCGGCCCAAAAUAAGGUGACGCAGCACCGUUGACAGAAAAGGUCUCGGUACAAAAAUAGUUACUGCUGAAGCAUCUAAUAAGAUAUAUCCAUGAGGCUAGAUCCAUUGGAAAGUAGACUUGAUAAGCUUUCCAAAAAGUGCUAGAACGUCCCAAUCCGAGUCCAUAUGAAGUCGUGGCAUGCAUCACAAGUUGGUGCUAUCCUGCAGUCCAAAUCCAGCCGGCGCCAAUCCCCUGCCCUUCUGAUCCUCUCCAUCAUUCCUAAGUAAAACAAGAGUGCACGUGUUUCCAUUGUCUAAAUAUGAUGGACAAGAGUUUAAGAAUAAACUUACUUGAUGGUUGAGUUGACGGGCACGAGCACGAGUAAGAGGACCAAGUGGUGCUAGCGAUGGUGUAGGUGUGGUGUUGAUGUCCUCAUCACCGACACUAACACUGUCUUCAAACGGACCAAAAUGAGAUUCCACGUGACCCAAGUCACCUAGGAGUUCCAUCGGGUUUUGUCAUAGUCAACGACGGUUGAAACUUCUAGGAAAAACUGCGAAUUAGGAGGGCAAUCCUCCUAGUGAACUGACCAUACCCCAAACUGACACAGGUGAACAUGUAGAGUAUACUAGGGUGUGUUAGGAGAACCAUGUCGAAGGAACUUGGCAAAAUGACCUCGUAAUUUCGGGAGAAGGGGUGCUCUCCUAUCUUUUGAUUAGGAAAGCGGCACAUACCAGGGGUAGCAACUAUUUAUUAAAAACACAGGACUCUGCUAAGUGGUAACACAAUGUAUAGAGUCUGACUCCUGCCUGGUGUUGGAAGGUUGGAAGGAGAAGUGUGAUAAGCUUUGAACGGAAGCCCCGGUAAAUGGCAGCAGUAACUCUAUCUAUCCUAAGGUAGCAAAAUUCCUUGUCGCAUAAGUAUCGACCUGCACGAAUGGUAUAAUGACUGCCCCGCUGUCUCCGACAUGGACCCAGUGAAAUUGGAUUCUCCGUGAAGAUGCGGAGUACCAAUGGCUAGACGGUAAGACCCCAUGCAUCUUGACAAUAGCUUCACAGUGACAACCUUGAUCGAAUGUGUAGGAUAGGUGGGAGGUGGUGACACACGAUGACCAUUCCUGAAAGACCACUCUAAGGAUGCGUAUUACCGUACCGAUCAUUCGGGGGAAGGGCGGGACACUGCGAGGUGGGUAGUUUAUCUAGGGCGAAUGCCUCCUAAAGAGUAACGGAGGUGUGCGAAGGUAGGCUCAAGCAUUGAUUCUACUCAUGAGCAUAAUGGUAUAAGCCUUCAUGACUAUGACACUGACUGGUCGAAUGGAGACGAGUCAGCCAUAGUGAUCCGGGAGUCCCAUGUGAAAAGGCUCUUGCUCAAUGGAUCAAAGGUAUGCCACGGAUAACAGGCUGAUGACUCCUAAGAGCUCUUAUCGAUGGAGUCAUUUGGUACCUCGAUGUCGACUCAUCACAUCCUAGGGUUGAAGAAGGUCCCAAGGGUUCGGUUGUUCGUCGAUGACAGUGGUAUGUGAGUUGGGUUUAGAAUGUCGUGAGACUGUUCGGUUCCUAUCUACCAUUAGUGUUAAAGGGAGAACUGCAAGGAACCAACCCUAGUAUGAGAGGACUAGGUUGGGUCAACCUAUGGUGUACCGGUUGUUAUGCCAAUAGCAGCGCCAGGCAGCUAAGUUGGUAUGGAAGAACUGCUAUGCCAUGGGAAAUCCUUCUCUAUACAAGUUCUCGUACGAGGUUUUUGAACAGAACUUUGAUAGGCGAGAGGUGUAAGCACCGCAAGGUGUGAAGCGAUCUCAUACUAAACGAAAGGAACUUUCCAAC